GAGGGUGGAAGCUGGAAGGGCGCAAGCGUGAAGGGGAGUCUGAUCUCAUCCUUCUGCUUUUGUGUGCUCCUUUUUGCUUGGCGGUUGGAAUGUGGGUUUCACUGGGAUUUACUUCCAGAAGCAGGCUCCUUUCUCUAAGGUGUGUCUCGCAGAGGGUUCGGAGUGCCAGAAAAAGGCUGAGGGAGGAACACACCAAAGAGAACGCCCCACUUCUCAAGCCUGACUUCGCUGUGCCUGCUCCACCCAGCCUACUCCAGUCAAACCCAUGGACCCACCCCUUCCAACACCCAGUCACAUCCAGCGGCAGCCUCUUCGGUGACACUGUGUGCUCUAUAGCCUUUUGGAUCAUCAGUAAGGAGGGAUUUCAGGAAAAUCAGAAGUGCGUACUGAGUCUUGGAUGACAGCACCAGUAAAUGCCUUCUGCUGCUUCUACCACUGGAGAGGAGUGGUCCACAGUCCCUCCUUAAUUCCCUGUAUCCACGUUUGCUGCUGUGACUUGGAUGGUCCUCUGUCUUCUCCACCCAAGGACUGUAAUGUCUUGAGCCUGUUGUGCUUCUCCAGUGCCUGGUAGUCAGAGAGUUCAUGCUGAAAAAGAGGCUGGAGCUUAUGCAUGUGAGGAAUUUGAAGGCUGAAUGACUAAACCAUGUGAGCUUCUCCACGAGGUAG